CUUGUACUCCCUCCGUCCGAAAAUACUUGUCAUUGAAAUGGUUGUAUCUAGAUGUAUUUUAGUUCUAGACACAUCCAUUUUGAUGACAAGUAAUUCCGGACGGAGGGAGUACUUG
rnacentral:pre_miRNA from 1 species